UACAGAGGUCUCAAGCGUUGUUCGGAUUCAUUGGGCGUAAAGGGUGUGUAGGUGGCGCGCUAAGUCGGGUGUGAAAUUUCGGAGCUUAACUCCGAAACUGCAUUCGAUACUGGCGUGCUUGAGGACUGGAGAGGAGACUGGAAUUCAUGGUGUAGCAGUGAAAUGCGUAGAGAUCGGGAGGAACACCGGUGGCGAAGGCGGGUCUCUGGGCAUUUCCUGACGCUGAGGCGCGAAAGCGUGGGGAGCAAACGGG
rnacentral:rRNA from 1 species